GGGCAAAACAAAUAACUGGGGCUAAGUCGUAACAAGGUAGCCGUACCGGAAGGUGCGGCUGGAACACCUCCUUU
rnacentral:rRNA from 1 species